rnacentral:rRNA from 1 species
AUUGAACGCUGGCGGCAGGCCUAACACAUGCAAGUCGAACGGGUGGCGGACGGGUGAGUAAUGUCUGAGCAACUGCCUGAUUGAGGGGGAUAACUACUGGAAACGGUAGCUAAUCCCGCAUACCAUCCGUUGUGCCCAGAUGGGAUUAGCUUGUUGGUGGGGUAAUGGCCCACCAAGGCGACGAUCCCUAGCUGGUCUGAGAGGAUGACCAGCCACACUGGAACUGAGACACGGUCCAGACUCCUACGGGAGGCAGCAGUGGUGAAUAUUGCACGAUGGGCGCAAGCCUGAUGCAGCCAUGCCGCGUGUAUGAAGAAGGCCUUCGGGUUGUAAAGUACUUUCAGCGGGGAGGCGUUACCCGCAGAAGAAGCACCGGCUAACUCCGUGCCAGCAGCCGCGGUAAUAC